rnacentral:lncRNA from 1 species
ACACUAAAAAAAGUACUUGUACAAAUAACCAAAGAUUUAUAUGGUAGACAUAAUAAAUUCUAGCAAAAGACGUCUAUAAUUAAAUAUAUGAUUAAAACACAAAAUUGAAUUUGGGCUUACCUGAGCUAUGAUUAAAUACUUUCUAGUUAGUUCCUAUCUCCUAGGAAGUGCAUACCUGCCCUCAAUUUUAUGUACCAUGUGACCCAAUAGUUAAGCUGAAAACAUGUAAAUUCAUACGAAUAGUAUCGCUCAUAUAUUUAUUCCUCCCAACAGAUACCUUGAUAGAUGCUUGGCCUGUAAACAGAAGCUCCUUUAAGGAUUAAGUUUGCUUGCUCCAAUGUUUUUCCUUAGAAUCUAAUGUUUAUAUGGUAGACAUAAUAAAAUCUAGCAAAAGACGUCUAAUUAAAUAUAUGAUUAAAACACAAAAUUGAAUUUGUGGUUACCUGAGCUAUGAUUACACAAUAAUUUUUCCGGCAAACGACAGAUUUUCAGGAUGUGAAACCUCAUCUACUUCUUCCUUAUAUCUAGUUUUUGUAAUUUUUUUUUUUUUGCUUUCACUUCGCUUGUAUAGGAAAUCAACAAAUUAGAACAAAAUCCCACGUCAAGAUCCAAGAAUAAAGAGAAAAAAUAUUGAAUUUGAAAAAGAAGUCUUGAUUAAAGAAAAAACAACAUUUGGAAAAAAGAAACCCACAAAAAGAGAAUCGAAGCGACCCAAAGUUUGGC